AUUGAACGCUGGCGGCAUGCCUUACACAUGCAAGUCGAACGGUAACAGGUCUUCGGAUGCUGACGAGUGGCGAACGGGUGAGUAAUACAUCGGAACGUGCCCGAGAGUGGGGGAUAACGAAGCGAAAGCUUUGCUAAUACCGCAUACGAUCUCAGGAUGAAAGCAGGGGGCCGCAAGGCCUUGCGCUCACGGAGCGGCCGAUGGCAGAUUAGGUAGUUGGUGGGAUAAAAGCUUACCAAGCCGACGAUCUGUAGCUGGUCUGAGAGGACGACCAGCCACACUGGGACUGAGACACGGCCCAGACUCCUACGGGAGGCAGCAGUGGGGAAUUUUGGACAAUGGGCGCAAGCCUGAUCCAGCCAUGCCGCGUGCAGGACGAAGGCCUUCGGGUUGUAAACUGCUUUUGUACGGAACGAAAAGACUCCUUCUAAUAAAGGGGGUCCAUGACGGUACCGUAAGAAUAAGCACCGGCUAACUACGUGCCAGCCGCCGCCGUAAUAC
rnacentral:rRNA from 1 species